UGAGCCGAGGCGAUGAGACCCUACAGAGGCAGGCCGCCGCGGUGGAGCACACCGGCCUGUCCGGCGGCCGGAUCGAGUGCGCCGCCGCCGUACUUCUCCACUCCCUCGCCCUUCUCCCCCGCGCCGCCUCCGCCCCUGUUAGCUCGCCGUCUGCCUCGGCUCGCCCUCGCUGCCGACCUCGGCCUCCGCCUCGUCCACGUCGAUGCCAACCGCGCAGAGGAGGUGGCGUCUAGAUGAUGGGUGCCGCUAUAAGUGGGAGGGAUCAAAGUUCCCGAUUUGCCUCUCCUGACCAGGAUCCUAAAAAUAAGCAAGUAUGUCUUGUUGACCUAACGGUGGAAUCAUAGUCAAGGAAACAGGUGGAGUUGAGUCCAGAGCUUGAUAAAAAACCUGUUGAUUUGCUGAAAGAUGACUUUGUUGUAGCCUUGCAUGCAAGAGAUAAUCUAGGAUUUCAUGUAGCUCGACAGAGGGUUUCUGAGAUGGCUGGUUCCCUUGACACAAUACCUAAUGCAACAAAAAGAGAUCCUGCUGCAAAAGUUCCUUGUUGCUUUUAGCAGCAAGGUACUCCAUUAGAACAUCCCACUAAUGACCCUACUUCUGAAAGGAAAAACAAAUCCAGCUUAUCAACACUUAUUUAUCCAGGACAAACUUGGAUUACAGUCUUUUUCUGCUGGUUAGUAUGAUUACCUUGUUUUCAGUUUAUUGUAGAGGAGCAGUGGCAUUCUUUGAUUUCAUGUUCUUAAAAUGGAUUAAUAUGGUGCAAUUUUAGAACAAGAGAAAACUUGAUGACUAACAAGGCUAAGCACAAACAACCAGAAACCUUAGCAACCAAAGAAAACCUUCAUGAUUAGAGGAUUUGUGGUUAGACUGUUGUUGCUGGUGAAGAAUUAGAUGUAUGGGAAGGCUAGGUUAUGAAGUCCUAUCAGUUAAUGUAUUUGACUUGUGAUUUUUCCUCCUUUCAAGAACUAUUGCAGGUUAAUGUACCCCUUGGCUUUUAUUCAGUUUACCGCAAGGCUUAAUUUUUUAUCCUCUUUACAUUAUUAGAUCUUGGAAUUUGUAUUUGCAGCCAUAGUUUAGAUGUAUGGAACAGAUGGAUGCUAGAAGGUUGUGUCCUGGAACAUUUAAAACUUGUCUACUGCAGAAAACCAUUGGUUGUUGGGCCAUUUCAGCCCCUAUCCUUCCAAUUAUUCCUCACCAAAAUGUCCAUCAUUCAAGCGGCUGUCUUGGAUGUAAGCAUCAAGAUUCUUGCAGUGGUGGGUGAAGAUGGUGUUACUAGAUGUUUUGAUUAAGUUUUCUUUUGCAGGAACUGCUUGAAGUGAAGCCACUGAUCCUUGUUUUGGCAGAUGACGAACUCCCUCCGCUGCGUCCAUGAAAUGGAGCAUGACCACGAGCACAGACACCGGAACACUCAACGACACCCUCACCGUCAACCCUACCCCCACUGUAGGCUGCUCCUUGAGCGGAUCAAUCUGCAGCAACCCCGAUAUAUCGCAGGAAUCUGAUUCAAAGAACUUGUGGCGGUAGUGCUUGUUCCACUCCAUCCUCGCCGGAGAUGCCUUAUCAACCCCGACCAUCACCUCCAUCUUCCCGUUGCACUGUAUGUUCUCCUCAUCAAUGCCUUCUUCUUCGUGGGCAGCAUGCACACUUGCCGCACAUCCUCUGCUGUGUCGAUGAAGCUCAAGUCGCCGCCACCGCUGCUGUCGCAAGCUGAUUUGUUGCCAUGAGGAGGAUAGUUGAAGCCCCUGAAGGAUCACAGGAGAACAGAAGGAAGCAGCUCGCAUGUUGGUGAACUGGGAAUUAGGUGCACAGGAGUUCACUCGCGGCAUGGCUGUCGGUCCCCCACGAUCCCGAGGAGCAGGCGGAGAGGAGGACGGAAGAGCCAGGCAAAAGAACAAACACAGUGUGCGCAUCAUCGUCUCCUUGUUCCCUUGCUUAGCGCUCUCGCCAUGUGACCUGUAUGGUCCCGAGCUGACCCCGUUGCCCUCCUUCCACCUUCCUGCCUGUAGCCGGAACGAUCCAGAUCUCACCAAGAGCUGUCUUCAUCUUUUUGUGAGGACAGACUCCAUGGCCCAGCACUUGUCUGCCUUCUCCUCGCUUUCUGCAUCCGCGGCCUCAAAUGAAACAGUGAGUGGGUGAGUGGCUCCUUUCCCUCGCCUUCACUCCAUAUCCUCAAGCAAACUCACACGCUCGGUGCUCAUCGAAGACAGAUUGUGCAUCACAAAUUGACGCCUGUCGGCACACCGCGACAUUGGCGUCGCGUGCUUUGGGGAUAGAGUGAGCAGGCGGAUGACAGCCACCGGAUUGAUCUCCAUCCUACAGCAUGAAUGGGAGGAAGCUUUUGCUAUGGAAUGUGUCACCGCAUGGGGGCCUAAGUAGUUGUAUCUCAUCGAGCAGUACUGAGAAAACAGUGGAUUUUUCCUGGUAAUGAGACGUCCUUUGGUACUCGGAUUAUAUUUAAUUGCCAUGAUUAGCUACUGUAGAUCACUGUAAUACGAACUGAUUGACAUCAAGAUUUGAUCUUCUUGUUGACU